rnacentral:rRNA from 1 species
CAGAUUGAACGCUGGCGGCAGGCCUAACACAUGCAAGUCGAACGGUAACAGGAAGCAGCUUGCUGCUUUGCUGACGAGUGGCGGACGGGUGAGUAAUGUCUGGGAAACUGCCUGAUGGAGGGGGAUAACUACUGGAAACGGUGGCUAAUACCGCAUAACGUCGCAAGACCAAAGAGGGGGACCUUCGGGCCUCUUGCCAUCAGAUGUGCCCAGAUGGGAUUAGCUUGUUGGUGAGGUAACGGCUCACCAAGGCGACGAUCCCUAGCUGGUCUGAGAGGAUGACCAGCCACACUGGAACUGAGACACGGUCCAGACUCCUACGGGAGGCAGCAGUGGGGAAUAUUGCACAAUGGGCGCAAGCCUGAUGCAGCCAUGCCGCGUGUAUGAAGAAGGCCUUCGGGUUGUAAAGUACUUUCAGCGGGGAGGAAGGUGUUGUGGUUAAUAACCGCAGCAAUUGACGUUACCCGCAGAAGAAGCACCGGCUAACUCCGUGCCAGCAGCCGCGGUAAUACGGAGGGUGCAAGCGUUAAUCGGAAUUACUGGGCGUAAAGCGCACGCAGGCGGUCUGUCAAGUCGGAUGUGAAAUCCCCGGGCUCAACCUGGGAACUGCAUUCGAAACUGGCAGGCUUGAGUCUUGUAGAGGGGGGUAGAAUUCCAGGUGUAGCGGUGAAAUGCGUAGAGAUCUGGAGGAAUACCGGUGGCGAAGGCGGCCCCCUGGACAAAGACUGACGCUCAGGUGCGAAAGCGUGGGGAGCAAACAGGAUUAGAUACCCUGGUAGUCCACGCCGUAAACGAUGUCUACUUGGAGGUUGUGCCCUUGAGGCGUGGCUUCCGGAGCUAACGCGUUAAGUAGACCGCCUGGGGAGUACGGCCGCAAGGUUAAAACUCAAAUGAAUUGACGGGGGCCCGCACAAGCGGUGGAGCAUGUGGUUUAAUUCGAUGCAACGCGAAGAACCUUACCUGGUCUUGACAUCCACAGAACUUUCCAGAGAUGGAUUGGUGCCUUCGGGAACUGUGAGACAGGUGCUGCAUGGCUGUCGUCAGCUCGUGUUGUGAAAUGUUGGGUUAAGUCCCGCAACGAGCGCAACCCUUAUCCUUUGUUGCCAGCGGUCCGGCCGGGAACUCAAAGGAGACUGCCAGUGAUAAACUGGAGGAAGGUGGGGAUGACGUCAAGUCAUCAUGGCCCUUACGACCAGGGCUACACACGUGCUACAAUGGCGCAUACAAAGAGAAGCGACCUCGCGAGAGCAAGCGGACCUCAUAAAGUGCGUCGUAGUCCGGAUUGGAGUCUGCAACUCGACUCCAUGAAGUCGGAAUCGCUAGUAAUCGUGGAUCAGAAUGCCACGGUGAAUACGUUCCCGGGCCUUGUACACACCGCCCGUCACACCAUGGGAGUGGGUUGCAAAAGAAGUAGGUAGCUUAACCUUCGGGAGGGCGCUUACCACUUUGUGAUUCAUGACUGGGGUGAAUCGUACAGGGGGAA